rnacentral:rRNA from 1 species
CCCUUAGACGUUCUGGGCCGCACGCGCGCUACACUGACACAGGCAACGGGCUUUCCUUUACCGAAAGGUAUGGGUAAUCUUUUGAAACUGUGUCGUGCUGGGGAUAGAUCCUUGCAAUUUUUGAUCUUAAACGAGGAAUUCCUAGUAAGCGCGAGUCAUCAACUCGCGUUGAUUACGUCCCUGCCCUUUGUACACACCGCCCGUCGCUACUACCGAUUGGACGUUUAAGCAAGAUUUUUAAACACUGACAGUUAAUGGCUUCGGCCAAGACACAGUGAGAAGAAGAAGAUCGAGCUUACUUGUCUAGAGGAAGUAAAAGUCGUAACA